GCCAGGCCCCGCCUCCCACGCCACAGCCAAUAGACUCUCAGGCUCCUGUGAACGGAUAGGGUGCCUCUGAAGCUCGGCCUUCGCUCUGAUAGCCUUCCGGUUGCUCUAAUUGGACACCCCACUUCCACUCUACUCACCGAUUGGUUAACAGACAAGCGGAAAUGGAUAAAAAUCGUUUAGCCAAAGAUGGUUGGCUCUAACGUCGGCAGGACCCUCCACCCCUUCAAGCCCUCCCAUUUGACUGUAAAACUCUGGAUGCACACCAACACAUUUUUACCAAGAAAGGUUUUAUUUUCUUGCAGUAGCUUUGUUAAUUGCACAAAAUCAUUUUAUUUUGCCAUUUAAACAUUAUCACACAAUCCUAUUCUGAAUGACAAACGUUAAUUAAAAACAAAGCAAAAAUAAAAAUUCACAACCUUAAUUACCUAGAGGAUUUGUCACUGAAAGGGGAAAUAGGAAAACUGCUUUUCUUACAGGCUUUUCACAAAUGUCACAUUUUCUCUUUUUUAAAAAGGAGUCAAAAACAAAAGCGAAAUAGCUAAAACAGAAAGUCAUAAAAAGGAACUUUACAGAAUUGUCAACAAUAUUAAGACAACACUGACUAGCCAGUUUCAUUACAGCAUCUCCCAGAUCCAGAGCUUCUCCCCUCCCUCCCCCCCACCCUUUAAGCCCCUUCUAAUAUCCUGGCCAGGUACAGAACUGGCAUGUUCAGAGACAGAUAUAAGGACAGUAGUGCCAGUGAAACAAACAUCUAGACCAGAAUUUGAUACCGAAUUUUCCCUGUGUCCCCUCUCUUCUUCCAUAAGGUUUCAUUUGUCAAACCUAGGCUGUAAGAGAUAAAGGGGAAAGAGGGACAAACCUCCAGAUGCUGGAAAAAAAUAAAGAAAAAGCCAAACUACACCCAUAGAGCUGUCACUGAAUCCUUCCCUUUCCCCUCCCCCUCCAAUGAAUAUCAAUCUUAAGCUGUAUGUGACUUCAGAAAAGCAUCCCACAUAAAGGGAAAGGUAGAUUUAGGAUUACAGGGAUGACAGCCUCUCUUUGUUCCUAUGUACCAUUUCAGUCCCAUGCGGGUACCCUCCCCAAAGAGAACACAGGGAUCUCCAAGAUGGAUGUGGGUUUACCUUUCCAGUCUGUCAGGACCCAUCUCAGGCAAAGUCUUCUUUUUUUUCCCAGACAGAGGACCUUGUGGCCCCAGAGGCACAAAGAACAUGAUGCUGGCUGGAGUGCAAUUACUCAUUCCUUUACUAAGAACUGAUCCCAUGAUUGGUCAGUGUUGGUUACCCAGGGCAGGGGAAUCUAGGUCUGCGU